CCUACGGGUGGCAGCAGUGGGGAAUAUUGCGCAAUGGGCGAAAGCCUGACGCAGCGAAGCCGCGUGAGGGAUGAAGGUCUUCGGAUCGGAAACCUCUGUCAGCAGGGAAGAACGGUCAGUGUGCUAAUGAGCAGUGCAUUGACGGUACCUGCAAAGGAAGCACCGGCUAACUCCGUGCCAGCAGCCGCGGUAAUACGGAGGGUGCGAGCGUUAAUCGGAAUUACUGGGCGGAAAGGGCUCGUAGGCGGUAUGGCAAGUCAAGGGUGAAAUCCCCGCGCUCAACGUGGGAACUGCCUUUGAAACUGGCAAACUGGAGUGUGUGAGAGGAUAGCGGAAUUCGAGGUGUAGGAGUGAAAUCCGUAGAUAUCUGGAGGAACAUCAGUGGCGAAGGCGACUAUCUGGCACAUAACUGACGCUGAGGAGCGAAAGCGUGGGUAGCAAACAGGAUUAGAUACCCGGGUAGUC
rnacentral:rRNA from 1 species